UUAUUACAAAUAACGAAUUAUAUUUCAUUUGUAUAACUAAUAGGUAUUCGCCGAAUAAAACAUUACAUACACUUGUCUAUGACAUUCACGUCACAUCAUAACAUCGACUAUUUUUCUAUGGACAAUAUCUGAAAAAUUCAUUACAGCUAAAUUUCCGGACGACCUAACUUUUCCGACCUCUAUUAAAUGUUUAUUCAUGAAAGUCGAAAGAAGUUCUGUGGAACAAAGUAAAUAAAACACCAAAUACAUAAGUCCCACUGAGUCCCACAUCAAACUAUUUUGUUUAUUUGUUGCCUGAUACCUGUGAGUUUUAGUGUUUGUGAGUGUUUCAUAUUUAAGUGUUUAUUAACAGGCAAAGCCCUAAAGUUGCAGUAUAACAAUGUGAACACAAUAAUAUUUAUAGUACACAGAUGAAAACUAAUGUAAUUAAAAGAAUUAAGAUGAGCUUGUAGGCAAAAAUAGCAUCUUUGGAUUCACGAACUGAAGCCAGUGAUGGAAACCAGAACUUUACUGUUGUAGCAUAAUAGUCAUGGCUGAAUCUGUCCAUAGGACAACCUGCACUAUAUGCCAGUAUUUUCAGAAAUGUAUGUUGGACUGAUUCAAGCCCAUUGGUAUUAGCUUUCAAAUAUGGGGACCACACAAUGGUUGCAUAAUUUAGAAUUGGUAAGAUAAAGGGCUCGAUAUAAAUAAAUAAAGGUCUUAUGAUCCUUAAAAUUAGCCGUGUUUCUGCAAAUAAAGCCAAUGAUUGUAUAGGCUAAAUAAAUAUCUUUAGAACUACUGGAGAAUUACCUGAAAAGGUCAACCAUCUGUUAACUGUUGUAUACCCACAUCACCACAAAGGAAUCUGUUCAUCUGUACAUUACUUGUAUCCCUUUAUUCACUGGAAGCAGAAACAAUAAGGAUACACUUCAGAGUAUAUAUUUUUCCGGCUUUCUCCAAACGAAAUUUUCCUUUAGUAGUUCAACCUACAAAAACAGAGUAAUUCCUUACUAAUCGAAAACCUUAAAUGUUCUUGCAGUGGAUAGGCUUUAGAAUACUAAGGAACAUGUCUAAGCCAUGAUGCAACACCAUUACUGUUGUGAAGAGGUUUUUCGAAACGUAUUGUGCCUCCUGUACUAAUAUGAAACUAUGGAAUACUUUGGGUGAGAUUUUAGUUCUUAAUAAUUUAAAAAUCGAACCUUACCUUCAGUUUUCUUGCUAUACUUUGAUUCAAUAAUAUACAUAUCACUUUUCGGGCUACUUUAAUCCACCAAUUAUUGCAAUCGUACAGAACGAAAUUCCGUUACAUUGCAGUUAUAACUGAAUAAUCUGUACAUCAAACAUAAACAUUUAUUUUUGUUGCAAUUAUAAAAAGUUUAGUUAUUUGUACUCGAGUGGCUCCAAUUCAAAAAAAAAUUUUAACGACUGGCGUAUGUUCAGGAUGCUAAAAAAAGAUAAUUCAGGUCGCGGAAGUCAGAAAAUUCUAAAAUGUUUAGAAAAAUUUAUACCUUACUAGUAUUACCGAGUAGUUUUUUGGUCACAGAGGCGGUGGGCUUAGAUUUUCGUUACGUAGUCAAUAUCUUUUAAGGAAAUUUCGCGCUAUAUUGAAAACUUUCUGUUUGCAAGAAAUGGUUUAAAACCGUAUUGAUGAGUUACUACGUGGAAACUAAUAGGGGAGGGGGGUCUUGGCAUAUAAUACGAAUGGUAACCGAGGGGGUAAAAAAUUAUAAAGAAAAUGGGUUGCGUACUAUGGGUACGUUCUCUUAAUAAAUAAAGGAAUUCAGAACUGCUACUGCAGCCUAACGCUCAGAAUACUUUGCAGUGAAUUGGGUUGCCUAAGUCAAGGACGAGCUGUCGCCAACGUUUUAAACGUUUCGUGUAUUUGAAAACAAAUUACUAUGAUAGCAAUGUUACAGUGCGAGUCGAAACUUUUAACCAACUACAUUUUUGGAUAUUAAUAAAAUAAUUUUAUUUUAUUUAGUACAUAAGCGUAUAUGAAAAUAAUUAUGAUUUUAUGACACUUAACACUGUAAAUGUAAAUGUAAAUGAUUUUUUUUACUUUGUUUUGUAUAUUUCUCUAGUAUCGGUAUUUUUACCUUCUGUCCUGUACAUUACAAUUUUUUAUGCGACUUCUGAUAGAGAAAGAUGCUUACAGUUAAAAAUGCGGACAAAAAAACGUUAGCUUUAUUGGGAAAAUUGUGAUGAAAGCAUAAAACUAUAAUAAAGUAAUAAUAUUCAAGGAGAUAGAUACUUCUUAAUCAAAAAUAGAGAAUGAUUAAGAAGAAAAACAAUGUUUCUAUUUUUUUAGUUUGCGUAAAGUGUCAAUCAUAAAAACAAAGCAAUGAAUUUUUUAUUUUCUGUCCAAAGAUUGAGAAAUUUGUAACAGUUAUUUUUGUCGUAGACAUCUUAAUUUGGCAAAUUAUUUCAGCAAAAAGCAUUGAAUUUUUAAAAAAUCCGUCUUCAAAUUUCAUUCCAAUUAUAAGAAAUGAAGUUUAAGUUAUAAAACCUAAUAUCUAAUAGUGGAUAAAAAUAUCUGAUUUAUUUCAAAAGUAUGGAGUUAUAUCAUAACCAAUUUACUAAUUUUCAGUCUUUUUGUUUACCAAAAAAACCACUCGACCGAAUGUUAUGUAAUUCUUUUCGGAUCAUAUUGCCGUUCAUACGCUUCGAUCGGCGCUCAACGAAGUCGAUAUCAUUUUUUAUUCUCGCGAUAUCUAUCAGAAGAAAGUGACUACGCACGCAUACAUACACACACACAGACACACGUAUACUCCUUCGCCAAAUUAUGUUGCGAUGCUAUGCUCACUUUCAAAUUUCAAAAUAUGUUGGAAACCGUGAUUUUUAUGAAUAACUUCCCUAUAUACUGGGAAGUUAAUAAAUUUAUUUAUCCUGUGGUUUGAUAUUAAGUAUCGCAUAUUCUACAUCAAGGUCAUUAAUAAUUCCUACACAGGAAAAUUAAACCGCAGAAACUGUUUAUUAAUAUACUAAAAAAACUUUGAGUACAUUUUUUUAUGAAUAACAAUACGGUACUUCUAUAAUUUAGUUUUUUAAUUCGAUUCGUUUAAUGUUUAAAAAUUCAAUUUAUUGUCCAUUUAGUGGAAUUUUAUUAUAGCACAAGAAUGCGAUAAACCCACAAGUCAACAUUAUCGUGAAAUUAUGUAUGUAUGGAUGUUAUAUUUUUUAAAUAUUUUUGUAUAAUAAUUUACAAUUAGUAUAUUUUUGUUUUGUUGGUAGUGUUCUUUUUUUAACUUCCCAGUAUAUAGGAGUGCGUGUGCGUUUGUCUGUAUGUGUACACGUACAUACGUAGGUAAUAAUUUUUUUCCAAGGUCCAGUCCCACCCCACGGCUUGUUUAACCGUCUAUUUCCUUCUUCAAAGUAUAACAUUUUUGUCAUCAUGUGUAGUUUAGCAUCCCUAAACCAGAUAUAUUGACCAUAACCAAUAGGUAGAGUUUAUUUAACUAAGAAACCUUCUGAUUUGAUUACGUAUAGAUUAAAAUAUGCUAAUUUGCUAGAAAUGAUUAAAUUGUAACCACAGUAAAAUACGUUAUUUUAUGUAUUUAUGAAUGAAUCAGGUUACGGUUAAGC